AUGCUCACUUUGGCAGUACAUAUGUUAUAAUUGGAAUGAUACAGAGAUUAGCAUGGCCCCUGCACAAGGAUGACAGGCAAAUUUGUGAAGUAUUCCAUGAUUUU